rnacentral:rRNA from 1 species
CAAGUCGAGGGGCAGCAUGAACUUAGCUUGCUAAGUUUGAUGGCGACCGGCGCACGGGUGAGUAACACGUAUCCAACCUUCCGUUUACUCAGGGAUAGCCUUUCGAAAGAAAGAUUAAUACCCGAUGGCAUAGUUCUUCCGCAUGGUGGAACUAUUAAAGAAUUUCGGUCAUCGAUGGGGAUGCGUUCCAUUAGGUAGUAGGCGGGGUAACGGCCCACCUAGCCGACGAUGGAUAGGGGUUCUGAGAGGAAGGUCCCCACAUUGGAACUGAGACACGGUCCAAACUCC